rnacentral:misc_RNA from 1 species
UGUUUUGCUAAACACCUUGAUUGUUUUGAACGGUCUGAUGGGCUUCCCAUACAGACCGCUAGGUCGUCGCCGAUCGUUCGGCGCGCCGUCCGCAGGCCUUCGGCCGUGAGGACAGAACAAAACCCGGUAUGUCCGGGUUCGAGGGUUCAGCGAAAGAGGUUUCUAGAUAUCGCA